AACAACUUAUUCACCGUCACUGCCUAUCUCUCGCACAGGUAAUCGCCUUUUCUUGCAAUAUAUUGUGUGUGUUUCUAGGAUUUUUUGAUAUUUGAGUGCACACAGUUGUCUUUCGGUGUGUGUUUAGUUUCUUCCAUUUUUCGAUAGUUUGUGAACAUUGUUGGUGGCCUUUUGUUUUCUGUGAUUUGAGUUUGUUGUUUUGGUGAUAUAAUCAAAAGUUUAAAAUUUUCAUCUCAUGUUCUUCCCUUUUGUAAUAGAUAUGAAGAUUUGAUUAGUGGUGAUAAAAUUUCUUUGGGAACAACAUGCAGGCAAAUGAAGGCAGAGUAAGGUGUAACUCUUAAUGAUUUUGGUUCCAUGGUUUGGGUCUACCUGGACUACAAAAUUGAGGGUAGCAUUUCCUACGAAGUUGUAGGUAUCUGGUCACAUUGAUAUAGGGAGCAACAAACUUUGCUUUGCUGAUGGUGGUGAGUCCUCACGCUGUUUUUAUCUUG